rnacentral:rRNA from 1 species
AGGACGAACGCUGGCGGCGUGCUUAACACAUGCAAGUCGAGCGGAAAGGCCCUUCGGGGUACUCGAGCGGUGAACGGGUGAGUAACACGUGAGCAACCUGCCCCUGGCUCUGGGAUAGCCUCCGGAAACGGGGAUUAAUACCGGACAUGACCUGCUGCCGCAUGGUGGCGGGUGGAAAGUUUUUCGGCCAGGGUGGGGCUCGGCGGCCUAUCAGCUUGUUGGGGGGGUGACGGCCCACCAAGGCGACGACGGGUA